rnacentral:ncRNA from 1 species
GGUGAACACAAGUAGACACUUAAACUUAUAUAAAUGGGAAUCUGCCAAACAGUUCGGGCCAAAUCCGGAAGAAAGCCAAAAAACAUUAUUUGAUGAGCCUGCAUAGUAUUAGAUAGUUGGUCAGGUAAAUACUGACCAAGCCAGUGAUGCUUAGCUGGUCUUUUCGGAUGAUCAGCCACAUUGGGACUGAAACACGACCCGUACUCCAG